CGGCAAUCUCUGAGACAAGUGUGAAGAGGCUGAGAAAGUUUGAAGAAAGCAGAAAAAUGUAGAAGCCAUCUGGAAGUCUUAAAUAGACGGUGGUCGAGUCCCACUCCGGCCUCCAGCCCUGUAGAGUCCCUCACACUGUCCUGCUUCCAGCGUGAAGAAGGUGAAGAGGCUCUGGUCGUGUAAGGAUGUGAUGGGAAUGCAAGUUGGUUUCUCUUCUAGCACCUUCCCCAAUAGGAGUCUAGGAGCUCCAUCUGAGAACAAGACACUGGAAGUCAAGCCAGCAAAGCGAGCCAACCCAACUGAGAAGGAUGCCUAUCAAUGGACAUUUGCGAGGGACUCUACAGAAAGCCCCUCAGAAGGACACACCCAAGUUAAGUUUCAUUACAACAAAAACUUGUGCUUUUAAAAAAUA